rnacentral:ncRNA from 1 species
AAAACUUACCAGGUCCAGACAUAGUAAGGAUUGACAGAUUGAGAGCUCUUUCUUGAUUCUAUGGGUGGUGGUGCAUGGUUGUUCUUAGUUGGUGGAGCGAUUUGUCUGGUUAAUUCUAAUAAUGAAUGAGACCUCAACCUGCUAACUAGCUACGCAGAGGUUCCCCUUCGUGGCCAACUUCUUAGAGGGACUAUGGCCGUUUAGGCCAUGGAAGUUUGAGGCAAUAACAGGUAUGUGAUACCCUUAGAUGUUCUGGGCUGCACACGCGCUACACUGAUGCAGUCAAUAAGUUUUUCUCCCUGGUUCAAGAGGAUCAGGAAAUCUUCUCAAAUUGCAUCGUGAUGGGGAUAGACCAUUGCAAUUAUUGGUCUUAAGCGAGGAAUUCCUAGUAAGCGCAUGUCAUCAGCUCGUGUUGACUACGUCCCUACCCUUUGUACACACCGCCCGUCUCUCCUACCGAUUGAAUGAUCCGGUGAAGUGUUUGGAUUGUGUUAAUGAGGGUGGUUCUCCACUGACGAUGUCGUGAGAAGUUCACUGAACCUUAUCAUUUAGAGGAAGGAGAAGUCAUAACAAGGUUACCGUAGGUGAACCUACGGUAGGAUCAUUG